rnacentral:rRNA from 1 species
GAUGAACGCUGGCGGCGUGCCUAAUACAUGCAAGUCGAGCGAACAGACGAGGAGCUUGCUCCUCUGACGUUAGCGGCGGACGGGUGAGUAACACGUGGAUAACCUACCUAUAAGACUGGGAUAACUUCGGGAAACCGGAGCUAAUACCGGAUAAUAUAUUGAACCGCAUGGUUCAAUAGUGAAAGACGGUUUUGCUGUCACUUAUAGAUGGAUCCGCGCCGCAUUAGCUAGUUGGUAAGGUAACGGCUUACCAAGGCGACGAUGCGUAGCCGACCUGAGAGGGUGAUCGGCCACACUGGAUCUGAGACACGGUCCAGACUCCUACGGGAGGCAGCAGUAGGGAAUCUUCCGCGAUGGGCGAAUGCCUAACGGAGCAACGCCGCGUGAGUGAUGAAGGUCUUCUGAUCGUAAAACUCUGUUAUUAGGGAAGAACAAAUGUGUAAGUAACUAUGCACGUCUUGACGGUACCUAAUCAGAAAGCCACGGCUAACUACGUG